AGAGGGGGACAACAGUUGGAAACGACUGCUAAUACCGCAUGAAGCAUAGGGGUCGCAUGAUUCUUAUGCCAAAGAUUUAUCGCUUCAAGAUGGCCUCGCGUCUGAUUAGCUAGUUGGCGGGGUAACGGCCCACCAAGGCGACGAUCAGUAGCCGGACUGAGAGGUUGAACGGCCACAUUGGGACUGAGAUACGGCCCAGACUCCUACGGGAGGCAGCAGUGGGGAAUAUUGGGCAAUGGGCGCAAGCCUGACCCAGCAACGCCGCGUGAAGGAAGAAGGCUUUCGGGUUGUAAACUUCUUUUAAGAGGGAAGAGCAGAAGACGGUACCUCUAGAAUAAGCCACGGCUAACUACGUGCCAGCAGCCGCGGUAAUACGUAGAUGGCAAGCGUUGUCCGGAUUUACUGGGUGUAAAGGGCGUGCAGCCGGGUCUGCAAGUCAGAUGUGAAAUCCAUGGGCUCAACCCAUGAACUGCAUUUGAAACUGUAGAUCUUGAGUGUCGGAGGGGCAAUCGGAAUUCCUAGUGUAGCGGUGAAAUGCGUAGAUAUUAGGAGGAACACCAGUGGCGAAGGCGGAUUGCUGGACGAUAACUGACGGUGAGGCGCGAAAGUGUGGGGAGCAAACAGGAUUAGAUACCCUGGUAGUCCACACUGUAAACGAUGAAUACUAGGUGUGCGGGGACUGACCCCCUGCGUGCCGCAGUAAACACAAUAAGUAUUCCACCUGGGGAGUA
rnacentral:rRNA from 1 species